rnacentral:rRNA from 1 species
UGGGGAAUAUUGCACAAUGGAGGGAACUCUGAUGCAGCAGCGCCGCGUGCGGGAUGACGGCCUUCGGGUUGUAAACCGCUUUCAGCCAUGACGAAGCUUUUGUGACGGUAGUGGUAGAAGAAGCACCGGCUAACUACGUGCCAGCAGCCGCGGUGAUACGUAGGGUGCGAGCGUUGUCCGGAAUUAUUGGGCGUAAAGAGCUUGUAGGCGGUUUGUCGCGUCGAUAGUGUAAACACGCAGCUUAACUGUGUGCCUGCUGUCGAUACGGGCUGACUAGAGGAGGGUAGGGGAGAAUGGAAUUCCCGGUGGAGCGGUGGAAUGCGCAGAUAUCGGGAGGAACACCAGUGGCGAAGGCGGUUCUCUGGACCUUUCCUGACGCUGAGAAGCGAAAGCGUGGGUAGCAAACAGG